rnacentral:rRNA from 1 species
UAUUUUGACUAUACGAAGGUAUUGAAAUAAGAUUUUAAAUGAGUGCUAAGAGAAUGAUUGAACAAUUAUAGGCUUUCUUUAGUUAAAUAAUUAAAUUUAAUUUUUUUUAGUGCAAAAGCAAAAAUUAAAUUUAGGGACAAGAAGACCCUAUGAAUUUUAAUUUAAUUUAUAAUUUGAAAUUUUAAAUUAAAUUUGAUUGGGGCGAUGGAAAAAGAAUGAGUAUCUUUUUUAGUUUUAAAAAUUGGUUCCGUUUUUAACGAUUAAAUGAGAAAAAUACUCUAGGGAUAACAGCGUAAUAAUUUUGGAUAGUUCUUAUAGAUAAAAUAGUUUGCGACCUCGAUGUUGGAUUAGGAUUCUUUCUUGGCGAAGAAGUUAAGAAAAAGAAGUUUGUUCAACUUUUAAAUUCC